rnacentral:rRNA from 1 species
UGGAAAGGCGCGCGAUACAGGGUGACAGCCCCGUACACAAAAAUGCACAUGCUGUGAGCUCGAUGAGUAGGGCGGGACACGUGGUAUCCUGUCUGAAUAUGGGGGGACCAUCCUCCAAGGCUAAAUACUCCUGACUGACCGAUAGUGAACCAGUACCGUGAGGGAAAGGCGAAAAGAACCCCGGCGAGGGGAGUGAAAAAGAACCUGAAACCGUGUACGUACAAGCAGUGGGAGCACGCUUAGGCGUGUGACUGCGUACCUUUUGUAUAAUGGGUCAGCGACUUAUAUUCUGUAGCAAGGUUAACCGAAUAGGGGAGCCGAAGGGAAACCGAGUCUUAACUGGGCGUUAAGUUGCAGGGUAUAGACCCGAAACCCGGUGAUCUAGCCAUGGGCAGGUUGAAGGUUGGGUAACACUAACUGGAGGACCGAACCGACUAAUGUUGAAAAAUUAGCGGAUGACUUGUGGCUGGGGGUGAAAGGCCAAUCAAACCGGGAGAUAGCUGGUUCUCCCCGAAAGCUAUUUAGGUAGCGCCUCGUGAAUUCAUCUCCGGGGGUAGAGCACUGUUUCGGCAAGGGGGUCAUCCCGACUUACCAACCCGAUGCAAACUGCGAAUACCGGAGAAUGUUAUCACGGGAGACACACGGCGGGUGCUAACGUCCGUCGUGAAGAGGGAAACAACCCAGACCGCCAGCUAAGGUCCCAAAGUCAUGGUUAAGUGGGAAACGAUGUGGGAAGGCCCAGACAGCCAGGAUGUUGGCUUAGAAGCAGCCAUCAUUUAAAGAAAGCGUAAUAGCUCACUGGUCGAGUCGGCCUGCGCGGAAGAUGUAACGGGGCUAAACCAUGCAC